UAAGUUUGAUGGCGACCGGCGCACGGGUGAGUAACACGUAUCCAACCUGCCGAUGACUCGGGGAUAGCCUUUCGAAAGAAAGAUUAAUACCCGAUGGCAUAGUUCUUCCGCAUGGUAGAACUAUUAAAGAAUUUCGGUCAUCGACGGGGAUGCGUUCCAUUAGGUUGUUGGCGGGGUAACGGCCCACCAAGCCUUCGAUGGAUAGGGGUUCUGAGAGGAAGGUCCCCCACAUUGGAACUGAGACACGGUCCAAACUCCUACGGGAGGCAGCAUG
rnacentral:rRNA from 1 species